UAGCAGCCAAGGCAGAUAGAUUCCCUUAGGGAAAGUUUGGGGUUUACCUACCUCCACCCUCCCCUCGCCUUCACGUCUCCUCCUUUAGCCUCCCAGGGCUCCAGGCCCAACCCGCCCCAGGUGAUGCAAGGUGCCCCCCAGCCCCGCCCCUUCUUGCCCUUCCCCUGCCCGGCCCUCCCAACUUUGCGCUCUGCAGCCCAGAUCGCGUCCUGGCUCCGGGCGCGCGGGGGAACCCUGAGAGCUUGCGGAGAGCCGCCAGGAGGGGGACCGAGGAGCCGCAGAGAGGGGCGUAGAGAUACUCUUGGAGUUCCUGAAUCUAUUCUCUGAUACUUUAAAGAGGAACAAUCACCCUUGGAGAAUAACAUCUACUGAGAGUUGAGAUGCAAACUUAGGGUAAGAGGGAGAAUAAUACACUAAGUUUUUCCUUUGUGGUUCCCUAAAUAUUUUGGGGUUUUGACAUAUAAAUGUGCCCAAUCUAUAUUGUAAUUGACUCUUAGCAAUUGAUGAAGAUUUUUUUCACUGAGUGAAUUGUUUACAGCAAUGAAAUUAAAGUUCAGUUGUUUUGUUUCCUUAAGAAAUAAGGAGUGUAUGUGUGUAUGUAUAUGUGUGUGUGUAGAGAAAGACAUCAGGAAUGAUAAUGGUAGGAAUUUAUAUCGGCCAACAGUUUACUUUACCUUAAUCUGAUCAUCAGCAAGCUUGAGUAGAUUAAUCAUCAAAAUAUUGACAGAUAUCUGUUGGGUAAUGGUGUGGUUGCUUAUAAUGAUGAAACCAUGACAACUUGUUUUUACACAGAUUAUGCUGCAUAUUAUGCAUGUGUUUAUAUGUGUGUGUGUA
rnacentral:lncRNA from 1 species